AGGGGAUCUUCGGACCUUUCGCUAUGAGAUGAGCCUGCGUUAGAUUAGCUAGUUGGUAGGGUAAAGGCCUACCAAGGCGACGAUCUAUAGCUGGUCUGAGAGGACGAUCAGCCACACUGGGACUGAGACACGGCCCAGACUCCUACGGGAGGCAGCAGUGGGGAAUAUUGGACAAUGGGCGAAAGCCUGAUCCAGCAAUACCGCGUGUGUGAAGAAGGCCUUAGGGUUGUAAAGCACUUUCAAUUGGGAGGAAAACCUGCCGGCCAAUACCCGGUAGCUUGACAUUACCUUUAGAAGAAGCACCGGCUAACUCCGUGCCAGCAGCCGCGGUAAUACGGAGGGUGCGAGCGUUAAUCGGAAUUACUGGGCGUAAAGCGUGCGUAGGCGGUUCGUUAAGUCAGAUGUGAAAGCCCUGGGCUCAACCUGGGAACUGCAUUUGAAACUGGCGGACUAGAGUUUAGUAGAGGGGAGUGGAAUUUCAGGUGUAGCGGUGAAAUGCGUAGAUAUCUGAAGGAACACCAGUGGCGAAGGCGACUCCCUGGACUAGAACUGACGCUGAGGUACGAAAGCGUGGGUAGCAAACAGGAUUAGAUACCCUGGUAGUCCACGCCGUAAACGAUGUCGACUAGC
rnacentral:rRNA from 1 species